rnacentral:rRNA from 1 species
UACGAAGGGGGCUAGCGUUGUUCGGAAUCACUGGGCGUAAAGCGCACGUAGGCGGAUGUGCCAGUCAGGGGUGAAAUCCCGGAGCUCAACUCCGGAACUGCCUCUGAUACAGCACGUCUUGAGUUCGAGAGAGGUGGGUGGAAUUCCUAGUGUAGAGGUGAAAUUCGUAGAUAUCCGGAGGAACACCGGUGGCGAAGGCGGCUUCCUGGACCGACACUGACGCUGAGGCGCGAAAGCUAGGGGAGCAAACGGG